rnacentral:ncRNA from 1 species
CCCGCUGAAUUUAAGCAUAUAACUAAGCGGAGGAAAAGAAACUAACGAGGAUUCCUCUAGCAACGGCGAGUGAACGGGGAAAAGCCUAGCGCUGAAUCCAUUGGCCACUGGUCGCUUGGAAUUGUAACGUAUAGAUGCGGUUGUCCGUUUGUUUCGCGCACCCAAAGUCCCCUUGAGUGGGGCUAUAGUCCAAAGUCUCGUCUAUCGAAAGGGAAACGGGUUAAUAUUCCCGUACCUGGACACGGAGAUAAGCGCUCAUUGCGAGCGUUUAGCGCGGCAACGCAAACGAACUCGGUAACGCUGAAUAGAGCCCGAGCUAGAGUUCUCUUUUCUAGUUAAGGAACGAAUUCCCUGGAAUCGGUUCAGCCGGCGAUAGGGAUGUUGUUUCCGUAAAGCGCCACGGUUCCUGUGGUGUCUCGUGCGCUCUAUUCGGCCCUUGAAAAACCGAGGGAGGCUAUUUGAAUUUCGUGCCAGGCCGUACCGAUAUCCGCAGCAGGUCUCCAAGGUGAACAGCCUCUAGUC